rnacentral:rRNA from 1 species
AUUGAACGCUGGCGGCAUGCCUUACACAUGCAAGUCGAACGGUAACAGGUUAAGCUGACGAGUGGCGAACGGGUGAGUAAUAUAUCGGAACGUGCCCAGUCGUGGGGGAUAACUGCUCGAAAGAGCAGCUAAUACCGCAUACGACCUGAGGGUGAAAGCGGGGGAUCGCAAGACCUCGCGCGAUUGGAGCGGCCGAUAUCAGAUUAGGUAGUUGGUGGGGUAAAGGCCCACCAAGCCAACGAUCUGUAGCUGGUCUGAGAGGACGACCAGCCACACUGGGACUGAGACACGGCCCAGACUCCUACGGGAGGCAGCAGUGGGGAAUUUUGGACAAUGGGCGCAAGCCUGAUCCAGCCAUGCCGCGUGCGGGAAGAAGGCCUUCGGGUUGUAAACCGCUUUUGUCAGGGAAGAAAAGGUUCUGGUUAAUACCUGGGACUCAUGACGUACCUGAAGAAUAAGCCCCGCA